GACGAACGCUGGCGGCGUGCUUAACACAUGCAAGUCGAACGGAAAGGCCCUGCUUUUGUGGGGUGCUCGAGUGGCGAACGGGUGAGUAACACGUGAGUAACCUGCCCUUGACUUUGGGAUAACUUCAGGAAACUGGGGCUAAUACCGGAUAGGAGCUCCUGCUGCAUGGUGGGGGUUGGAAAGUUUCGGCGGUUGGGGAUGGACUCGCGGCUUAUCAGCUUGUUGGUGGGGUAGUGGCUUACCAAGGCUUUGACGGGUAGCCGGCCUGAGAGGGUGACCGGCCACAUUGGGACUGAGAUACGACCCAGACUCCUACUGGAGGCAGCAGUGCUGAAUAUUUCACAAUGGGCGGAAGCCUGAUGCAGCAACGCCGCGUGCGGGAUGACGGCCUUCGGGUUGUAAACCGCUUUCGCCUGUGACGAAGCGUGAGUGACGGUAAUGGGUAAAGAAGCACCGGCUAACUACGUG
rnacentral:rRNA from 1 species